UGUUACUUUUCCUCCUUGAUGGGCCUACUUAAGUCACCAUUACUUAAAUACUGUCCCCAGAUCUGUCAUUUCUUUUAGGUGCUCUCAGCUAAAAUCUGAACAUUAUCUGAAGAAGGGAAGAGAAAAUGCACCAAGAUCUGAAAUCAAACUGAAGCUGUUUGAUAAUCAGCUUGGUUCUUCAGAGAAGAUGACUCAUGCCAGUAUGAUGACAAAGGUCACUAUGUGAUGGAUAUUCCUGGCCCAACUCCGGAAAGGCCUGUCAUUGUGUGGAGGGGUGAGGUGGGGUAGGGAGAUGGGGAGAGAAAAUUAGUUGAUGAUAUUUAUCUUGUUUGUUUUCUCCUAGAAAUUCUAAAAUUGUCUGGCUUCUUUUUACAGAGACAAGGAGCCAAAAACAAAACUAUCUAAUUUCUUGAUUUCUGUAGUGGAAAAGAUAAACAAGUUUUCUGGCUUUCAAUGGUCUUCUAUCAAAUACUGAGAAGGGUUGUGUAAAGUCAGGUCAUUGCAUGUUAAUUGAGCUUUUUUUCCUCUGAAAAUUCCUGCCACAGAUGCUCCAGAGAACAUUUACAAAACAGGCUCUAUCUUCAGAAAGCUUUAGCACUUUUUAUAAAAUCUAUUUUUAGAGAACUUCGGCGCUAGAUAGAAGAAAGAGUGAAUAUAGAGAACAGAAGAGAAGGGAUGAUCAGAGGAUAGUUUAUACUUGGAAAAAAGAAAAAAAAGAAAAAACCCUCUCUGCAUGCAGUGCCAUUGUUGACGAUGAUGACAAGAUCCAGGUUGCAAUCCUGUGAGCAGAUGGCUAGGUUGUGGUGGAGGGAAUAAUCUUUAUUUCUAAGGAGGUCAAGAGAAUUUCUACUUUUUAGAUCAUCUGCUUGAUGUUGAAGUUUCUAAAACUGAUGACAUGAUUGUGUGGGGAAGAGGAUGUCUAUCUGAGUGAAUUAGGGAGAGAAGAUGGACAUAACAACAAAGAGAACACGUAAAAUCUGAUGACAUGUUGAAAAGGAACUACAAUUUGUGAAAAAGGGAGAAUUUAUUUAGGUGUAAUGACUGGGCGUAUAAAACCUGUUAGCCUAAGGUGCUAAAGUGAGGUGCAUAAGUGGGUGCAAAAAGUGAAGGACCUGGAACCUCAGGACAUGUCCCCAAUAACUAGUUUAAGGAUGGAGAAGUCUGUUGAUCGCAGACCCUGAAUCUGGCACCAUAUGGUGGUAAGGGUUUGGGAGGAGAGGAGUUAA
rnacentral:lncRNA from 1 species